AUUGAACGCUAGCGGGAUGCUUAACACAUGCAAGUCGAACGAGUGGCGGACGGGUGAGUAAUGUCUGGGAACGUGCCUGGUGGCGGGGGAUAACUACUCGAAAGGGUGGCUAAUACCGCAUACCAUCAGAUGUGCCCAGAUGGGAUUAGCUAGUUGGUGGGGUAACGGCUCACCAAGGCAACGAUCCCUAGCUGGUUUGAGAGGAGGACCAGCCAAACUGGAACUGAGACACGGCCCAGACUCCUACGGGAGGCAGCAGUGGGGAAUAUUGCACAAUGGGCGCAACCCUGAUGCAGCCAUCCCGCGUGUAUGAAGAAGGCCUUCGGGUUGUAAAGUACUUUCAGCAGGGAGGCGUUACCCGCAGAAGAAGCACCGGCUAACUACGUGCCAGCAGCCGCGGUAAUAC
rnacentral:rRNA from 1 species